GAUGAACGCUAGCUACAGGCUUAACACAUGCAAGUCGAGGGGCAUCACAGUGUAGCAAUACACGGGUGGCGACCGGCGCACGGGUGCGUAACACGUAUCCAAUCUGCCCGUUACUCGGGGAUAGCCUUCUGAAAGGAAGAUUAAUACCCGAUGGCAUGUAUUUCCGGCAUCGGAGAUACAUUAAAGAUUUAUCGGUAACGGAUGAGGAUGCGUACGAUUAGCUGGUUGGCGGGGUAACGGCCCACCAAGGCUACGAUCGUUAGGGGUUCUGAGAGGAAGGUCCCCCACACUGGAACUGAGACACGGUCCAGACUCCUACGGGAGGCAGCAGUGAGGAAUAUUGGUCAAUGGUCGAGAGACUGAACCAGCCAAGUAGCGUGAAGGAUGACUGCCCUACGGGUUGUAAACUUCUUUUGUUUGGGAAUAAAUGAUACUACGUGUAGUAUUUUGCAUGUACCUUACGAAUAAGCAUCGGCUAAUUCCGUG
rnacentral:rRNA from 1 species